GACGAACGCUGGCGGCGUGCUUAACACAUGCAAGUCGAGCGAGGCCCCUCCUUCGGGAGGGUGUCCUAGCGGCGAACGGGUGAGUAACACGUGGGCAACCUGCCCUCAGCUCUGGGAUAACUCCGGGAAACCGGGGCUAAUACCGGAUACGACCUCCACGGGCAUCUGCGGAGGUGGAAAGUUUUUCGGCUGAGGAUGGGCCCGCGGCCUAUCAGCUAGUUGGUGGGGUAGUGGCCCACCAAGGCGACGACGGGUAGCCGGCCUGAGAGGGCGACCGGCCACACUGGGACUGGGACAACGGCCAGACUCCUACCGGGGGGAGCAGGUGGGAAUAAUGCGCAAGGGGCGGAAGCCUGACGCAGCGACGCCGGGGGAGGGAAGAAGGCCUUCGGGUUGUAAACCUCUUUCAGCAGGGACGAAGCGAAAGUGACGGUACCUGCAGAAGAAGCACCGGCCAACUACGUG
rnacentral:rRNA from 1 species